rnacentral:rRNA from 1 species
UACAGAGGAGCCAAGCGUUGUCCGGAUUGACUGGGCGUAAAGCGUCCGCAGGUGGCAAUGUAAGUCUGCUGUCAAAGCGUCUGGCUCAACUAGAUAAAGGCAGUGGAAACUACAUAGCUAGAGUAAGGUAGGGGUAGAGGGAAUUCCUGGUGUAGCGGUGAAAUGCGUAGAGAUCAGGAAGAACACCGGUGGCGAAAGCGCUCUGCUGGACCUUAACUGACACUGAGGGACGAAAGCUAGGGGAGCGAAUGGG